GCAGGAGGCCGAUUCAGAGAACUCCUAAGAAAGUACGGCAAAGUAGCUUUAGGUGUCCACUUCUCCGUCUCUACAGCCUCAAUCACUGGCCUCUACAUCGCCAUCAGAAAUAACGUCGACGUCGAGUCGCUUUUCGACAAGUGGCAUCUUCCCGGAAUCUCUACCAAGGAUUCCAAUCACUCCAACCCGCCAUCCCAACAACAACAAGAAGUUAAAUCCGACGAUGGGUUUGUUACUGAAGACAGAGAGAAAUCGACGUCUGUAGAGGAGGUGAAGAAGAGGAAUCGGACGGCUGAGCUUGCUUCAUCCGCUGGUGGAGCCCUUGCUCUGGCUGUGUUGUGUAACAAGGCACUAUUCCCAAUACGGGUUCCUAUAACAAUCGCUCUUACGCCUCCGGUGGCUAGGUUCUUGGCUAGGAGGAGGAUUAUCAAGAACAGUGUAUGACUUUUAUUUUUUUAUUUUUUUGGUUUUUAGUUUCUUGCAUGUUAUUUGGACUUUAAAAAAAAAUAAAAAAAAAUAGUCUCUUGUUUUCGUUACCCU
rnacentral:misc_RNA from 1 species